rnacentral:rRNA from 1 species
UACGAAGGGUGCUAGCGUUGUUCGGAAUUACUGGGCGUAAAGCGUACGUAGGCGGCUUUGUAAGUCGAUUGUGAAAGCCCCAGGCUUAACCUGGGAAUUGCAACCGAAACUGCUUUGCUUGAGUUUGGUGGGGGAUGGUGGAAUUCCUAGUGUAGGGGUGAAAUCCGUAGAUAUUAGGAGGAAUACCGGUGGCGAAAGCGACCAUCUACGCCAAUACUGACGCUAAGGUACGAAAGCGUGGGGAGCAAACAGG